CAAAACGGUACGCUCUCUCUCGCCCCGACCGGCGACGCCGAUGGCGACGACGCCGGAGAGCGGAGAAGGAGGGAUAGCAGCAGCGCUACUGGAGGAGACCGCGGAGGCGCCGUACCUCCUCCCCCCCCCCCCCCCCCCCCCCCCCCCCCCCCCCCACUCCCUCUCUCCUGUCCGGCGGCGAGCUCGGCGGCGAUGGGAAGCAGCUGCGGCGGAAGCUGUGGCGACUGGAGCAACCCAUCACCGGCAUCACUCUCCCACGACGGUGGGCUAGAAUGAAGAGCUCAUGUAUAAGUGGCCAUGUUUGUGGAGGAAUUCAUGGCCGACAUCACCAGCAAUGAACGGACACGUCCUCUCCGGCCUAGCAAGUUUUGCUAGAAACCACUUUUGGACCGAUAGGACAGUGAUUGAGGUGCUGCGCUCUAACUUGACACCGUGGGGUCGUCUUCGACUUAAAAUCUGAUGAAGCCAUGAGCGUUUGGUGUCGUUGUGGCGGCUGCUAGCAAGUGCGCAAGCAGAUAAGUCAGCCAAGACUCUUCCGUUGAUCAGUCGAAUCUGGUGUGAUUGAUGAACUCUAAAUCCAGCCUGUGUUUUUGCUUGAUGAAACAACGCAUAUAUAUUGUAUGAUC